GACGAACGCUGGCGGCGUGCCUAAUACAUGCAAGUCGUGCGGACCUUUUAAAAGCUUGCUUUUAAAAGGUUAGCGGCGGACGGGUGAGUAACACGUGGGCAACCUGCCUGUAAGACUGGGAUAACGCCGGGAAACCGGGGCUAAUACCAGAUCGUUUUUUCCUCCGCAUGGAGGAAAAAGGAAAGGCGGCUUCGGCUGCCACUUACAGAUGGGCCCGCGGCGCAUUAGCUAGUUGGGGGGGUAACGGCCCACCAAGGCAACGAUGCGUAGCCGCCCUGAGAGGGUGAUCGGCCGCAUUGGGACUGAGACACGGCCCAAACUCCUACGGGAGGGAGCAGGAGGGAAUCUUCCGCGAUGGACGAAAGUCUGGCGGAGGCACGCCGCGUGAGUGAAGAAGGCCUUCGGGUCGUAAGACUCUGUUGCCGGGGAGGAACGCGUGCCGUUCGCACAGGGCGGCGCCUUGACGGUACCCGGCCAGAAAGCCACGGCUAACUACGUG
rnacentral:rRNA from 1 species